UCUCUUGUCUUUUCAAUUUUGAGGAAUGGCUAAGCGAACUGGGACUGUGCCAUAUUAUUACUGGAAGGAAACAGGAAGUUAAGUUGCUACCAACUUCACAUGGCAUUUUGUUUUCUCGGUUGAAUAUUGUGCUACAGCAAUGAAAGCUUAAUUUAUUUUAAGGCUUUUUACACAUCUUUAGCUGGAGUUUUAUUAAGUGUGGAGAGUGCUGUAUUCUUUACAUCUGUUUGUGGAAUCAGUAAAGGUUUUUUGUACUCUCCAUCUUCUCUAUCUGCUCCACAAGUGUUGAAGGUGAGGCUGAACCUGCAGCAAGCUGACACGUAUCACGGCUUUGUGGCGUGCACCCGAUCUAUAUACAAACACGAGUCCAUGUCGUCCUUUUACAGAGGAUUCAGGCCCAGCAUCCUCUGCAUGAUUCCUUAUGCAGGUGUGGAGUGCACAGUUCAUCAGCUUAGGUGAAUAAACGAACACGCAGAACACCCCUUGGGAGGGUGCUUCAACAAUUGGUGAUCCUCCGACGUGAUUCACGGCUGACUUAGGGAAUUUGGACAAAGAGAGAGUGUGACAGAUGAACCUCUGACAUCCAGGGCGCCCACAUGUCAUCAAAAGCCAGUUGCAGAGGAAUAUGCUGACAUCUACUGGACACUGUUGACCGAACCUCCAAGCAGCAUCUUCUCUGUGUAUCAGCUGUGGAAACCCUAGAUUCAAAAUCUCUGCCCCUGCACCUCUCUGCCUGACCCGACCCAUGUCACUUUGUUCUACGACCGUUGUCACACUGAAUGGUACCAGAUUUGUUUAAUGAAACAGUAGAAGGUAGGACAUGGUUCAUUUCAUCCAAAAAUGUUUAUGUGGCUCUUGAGGGUGUGGCUGCAACAGUUGAUUUAACACCUGACCAAGUGGAAUGGUAUUUACUGUCGGAUGAAGCUGUUCCUCAUGAUUCUCUUUCUUUGCAUCCCGAGUAUCAAGCUAAGGAAUUGAGAGGAGUGGUAAAGCGCUCUCUGGCAGCUGGGGACUGGCAGGACACCUCAGACACCAACUUAAUUUUGGUUACAGAGUUCUCAAAACAGGUUCAAGAGAAACCAACCGAGGGACCUCCGCCAACCACGUCCGAAGCUGAGUGGAUCCUGCUGAAGGUGAUCAAAAGGAAGUGGUCAGAGCCCAGGUGGACGGGUCCAUUCCAGGUCACAGAGAGAACCUCACAUGCGGUGAGGGUCAAGGGCAAAGGAGACAUGUGGUAUCAUUGGAG